GGGAGCCAUACGAAUUUUAAACGGAUGCCCACAUGAAAAACAACAGCACAUGUUAGGGAACCAUUUUCUUCAUCUUCCAAGCCCAAACCAGCAAUGUCCACAGCAGCUCCCGGCCAAUUAGGAAGAAAUCAGACUCGAUCAGGAACAAAAGGUCCAUUUAACAUAGACACGUGGGCCUUUUACCUAUCAACUGCCACUAGGGUCCUGGGCAAGGCGGGGCUACAAAAAUAAAGCAAUCAAGGAGCCACUUCCUCAUUCACAUGGGCUUGAAGAGAGAUGAGACCUCUGUGGAGCCAUCGUUAGUGUGCCUCUGGCCAGCAGGGGGUGCCAAGAAGAGGACCGACUUGCACCUUGUGUUUGUAAGGAUUUACACCCAGCCCCAGGAAAGCAGAGGACCUGGAACUGAGGGGUGGUGUGCGGACUACUAGAAAAGGAGAUCUUGAACUCUCUGGAGAGGUCUUUAAAGAUUUGCGAGGAUCAGUAGGAAUUCCUAUCAGAAUGCACUGUGUGAAUGAUUAGAUAGGAAAAUUGAUGUUUUAAAAAUUUAAGUUCAAAACAUAACCUUUCCUAAAUCUGCUAUACAGAUUUAAUUUUUAUAUAUCCUGCACUCAAAAGAUUCACACGGAUUAGUUUCUCUUCUCUUUGUGCAGAGUGCGUUAGCGUUUAUUAAGUUGAAUUCAAAUGACUGUUCUCUAGAUGCUGUUUCCAUUCAGUAUAUAGCAGUGGUUCCCCCUAAUGCUUUCUUAGCACCAUAGAAUGAAUUCAAAAGGACACCAGGUCAUUAUUUUACAAUUCCAUUUCAUGUAUGCAUCAGAAUAUUCUGCCUCACACACGUAAGCAGGCAAGCAGCUAUUAAAUUAAAAUGUGAUGCCAAAUUCACUUGAAAAGAACUGUGGAGAACAAGGUAAUGACCUCCUAUCACCUUCCCCAAAUAUUGUGUGGCUAGUCAGGGAUUUAUAGUUGGGGGUUUAUAUUAUGUGGAAUAAUUUGCACAUUUCUGGCUUGCGAGCUUGAAAUCUUCGAAUCUUUGAUGCCUGUGACUGGCAGUUUUUACCUUUGCAAAUUCUUUGGUAUGCAACCAGUGCUGCCUGAUACACAGAGUUGACUAAAUAUUUAUCAAAUAUUCAUACAGUUACUCAGCGGAUUAAUUAUUGAACAAGCUUCCACUCAACCAUCUUUCUUUUCGCUAUAGCUAAUUCUCCAUUGCUCCAUUGACAUAUGUUCUGGGGAAGGACAGAAAUAGCCAACUCAGCAAAUUUUAUUCCUUUCAAGGUUAUGCAUUAAAGUGUGAGAAAGUCAGAACAUAUGGAAAACCCACACCCUGGAUUUGGCUGGCUUAAAAGUUUACAGAUGAACCUCCUAAUGGGUUUGUGUUUUUUGCUUUUUGAACAAAUUCAUAUUUUUAAGCAAAUAUUUAAUAACCUAUCAACUGACAAAAAAAAGAAAUUCUUUACACAGCUAAAAGGAAUUUCUUUCCAUAGAGACUUCUUACAGAAUAUUCUCCUGUGUGUUGUUUCACUUAUGUUUUCCAUAGGAAACCCAGGAUGGCUUUAUUCCCAUUUUACAGAGGAGGCAGAUGAGGCUCUGACCUACCAGUGGACUUUCCCAAAUUCACACAGCAGAUAAGCGGCACAUUGACACUGGAACAUGUGUUCUGUUUUAGGUGGUAUAGAAUAGCUACAUAUAUUAAGGGGAAAAAAAUGGAAACAUUUGCUAUUUGGAUAAAUAGUUUCUUAUUUUAGCAAUGUUUUCAGCAUUUUCUGUAAUCAGAAUUGAGAUAAUACUAUGCAUAAUUCUUCUCUUGUUUUUGAUAGACUCUAUCAACAAAGUUACUGUUUCUAUAAACCAGAGAAGAAGCAAGGGGCGGGGGAAGCUCUGAAAUCUUUGUCUUUGCCUAGAGAAGCACUGGGACAAUCAGAAGCAGGAUGAGCAGAUCUUCAGUGAUAAAAUGAUCACCUCAUCACUACCAAUCAGUCCUCAACAACUUGGUAACUUUAGAGAGGAUUAUAGAAAUGAGAAAGGUUAAGGGGGUGGUGGUGGGAGGAAACCACUUUCUGUCAAUAUUCAACUGUGGCAUAGUCUUAAAUAAUAGGAUUCUCUUUAGGAUCUCUAACCUGGAAUUUGCAAUCCUCACAAGAAUAUCAAUUCCUUUACAGAGUUUGAAUUUUACUUUCACUUAGAUCUAAGUAAUUUUUAUCUCCUUUGUAGAAGAAGGAUCUCAAACUACCAUGUCAUCAUGCAUCUCAGCAUAUCUAUAUUCAAAUCCAGUGCAUUUCCCUUUAGUUGGGUCGCCAAGGGUUUUGUUCCCCCCCCACUAAACUUUCUUAACAAAAUAUUAUAGUGUAUUUCUAAAGCAACAUCUCUUAAUUUUUCCCUAACAACAUUAUCAUAAUUACCCAUUUUGAUGUAUGCUUAAAAUUGUAAAAAUAGGAAUUUUAAAAAUAUUCUUGGGAUCACAGUAAAUAAAUAUAUCGAAACAAAACAUCUGAACACAUUUCCAGACUAUCCUUUUGUAAGAAAUAGUUAAAAACAAAUUAUUUUCUAUUUAUGUGAUAAUUAAUAUCUAUUAUAAAUAGGUAAGGAUUUCAAGGUUAGUGACCAACCAUUAAUUACUAAUGUAUUGCUUCAAAUAAAUAAUAAUAUAGGUUCUUUACAACAUCAUCAGCAGAUGUGUUCAUGUUGUAAAACACAGACGGUAUAUUUAAUUACUUGUAAGUAAUACAAAUGCUUGACAUAAACUCUUGAGACUUCAGAUGUGGAGAUGGUUUGUGAAAAGCUUUGAAAUCCACUGGCACACGCCAUUCUUUCAUUCAAGACAAAUAUGUGGGCGAAUCAGCAGGAGUCCAUUCUGGCUUCCAGAGAGUGCCCUGGAGCUGUCCACAGGAAGGUGCUGGAAAAGGCAGCCGCAGAUGGUCCAGGUACACAAUUAUUUCAGCCUGGAAUGCAGCAGAAUAAUCAGACUCGUGUGAGAGGCUUGCUACAGUGUACAUGACCUGGAAACUGCUUCAUGAAGGUUUUCAGGGCCACCUUCAAUUUCCUUUGAUAAUUAUAAAGAGAAGACGCUUUUUCUAAGAAAUAGGGAGAAGAGUCAAGACAAGGAAUCAUUUAUUGAAUCUUAGAGAUUUAAAUGACAUUCCUAAUAGGUACCUGAUGAAUUGCUAAAUAACUGACAUUUUAUUCCAGAAUAUUUCGGUUCAUUAUUGAAGAAUGUAAGUUCAGACUCUGUGGAUUUUCCUAGUAUUUCCAACUCCAUAUUGGAAAAUCAAAACGUCAUUUAAAAAAUCAGCUAUUUGCCCCCAAAAGAAUUGCCCUCCUAGUACACUGAAAAGAAAGAGGACAAAAGGAUUUGUAGUUUUAGCAAUGUACAAGGACUGACUUUCAGAUCCGUGGUAAAGGUCAGGUGUAAUAUUCAAAAACAAAUUAAAAGGCAGCCAUUCUAUUGGACUCAGAAGAUUCCAGCAAGCGCUGGGCACCCAUGGGCAUUGGCUCAGAAUGUGUUUAUUGUGAUCACACCCCAGAUGAUGCUGCAAGCACUAUUAAGGACCCUAUUCACCACCAUCCUUCUUGCAUUAUGUAUGCAGUUAUUGUUUUGCAUUAUGCACUAUCUAAAAUGAUACAAAAACAUUUUGCUGAAAAAUAAACCACUGGUUUUAUGCUUAACACCAGGAUUACAAAA
rnacentral:lncRNA from 1 species